rnacentral:rRNA from 1 species
CAGCGCCACGAGUGGGGGUCACGAUUAUUGGGCCUAAAGCGUCCGUAGCCGGUUUAGCAAAUCUUUUGUGAAAUCGUCAGGCUUAACUUGACGAAUUGCAGAAGACACUACUAAACUAGGGACUGGGAGGAGUCAGAAGUAUUCUGGGGGGACCGGUAAAAUGGUAUAAUCCCCAGAGGACUACCGAUGGCGAAGGCAUCUGACCAGAACAGAUCCGACGGUGAGGGACGAAAGCCAGGGGAGCAAACCGGAUUAGAUACCCGAGUAGUCC